AAAAGCAAAUAUGUAAUUUUAUUAUAGUAAUCUACUAUGAUUACAGUAAAACAACCCACGGUACUAUAAUGUUGUGAUUAAUAUUAUAUACUAGAGGCUUUGUUUUUGGUUUGGUUUAUUGGGAGAUCCAACCUACUUUAUACCCUGGGAUAACUCUGGGAUAACUCUUACCCGUCACAUAUAAACAUUUUAGAGUUUACGUAAUAUCAUUGGAGCACCGUGCUGUGGCUGAAGAGUUAUGACUGUGCGAGGAGCAUGAAUAUACGACGGAGAGAGCUCAAAAGAGUAGCGCUGUAAAACCAUUGCCAAAGCCAUUUUUGCUUCAAUCAAAGCAAAGUUUUGUCCAACGCAUAUUCGAGGACCCCAUCCAAAUGGAAGGAAUGAGACCUGACUCUUUGUUGCCUUUGAAACACCUUCAGCAAACCUCUCUGGUUUGAACUCAGAGGCAUCAUCACCCCAAAGUUCAUGAUCUUGGUGAAGGAGGAUUGUUGGCAACGAGAUCUGCACUCCGGCAGGUGGAAGUUCUGUCAUGGCUAAUGAACAGAGAACUUGGUGUGUGGCCAAGCCAUCGUCGGAUCAAGCAACUUUACUAGCGAAUAUCAAUUACGCAUGCUCUCACGUGGAUUGCCAGAUUCUACAAAAGGGUUACCCUUGCUUUUCUCCGGAUAGUCUCAUAAGCCAUGCAUCAAUAGCCAUGAAUCUGUACUACCAACGUAAGGGAAGGAACCACUGGAAUUGUGAUUUCAGGGACUCUGGCCUCAUUGUCAAGACUGAUCCAAGCUAUAGCAACUGCAUCUAUGCCUAAGCCUUGGUCCAGGAAGUAAUUCCUGGCAACUUGUCUGCUGGAAAUAUAUUGCUGCAAGGAAGCAGAAGAGUUGGUCUGACAUACAUUCUUGCCUAAUUUUGUCAGGCCUCAUUUAAUUGCUGAUCUCCUGAUAAAGGAUCCAAAAUUGAAUUGCAAGCUCCCAGCAAACUUACACCUCAAAAGCGCAAAACAUAAACUAUGAUAGAAGUGCGCGAGAGUGUGGGAAUUCGGAUGUAAAGUAGCAACCAGCAAGUGUUGUUUGAUUCAGGAUCAGAACUCAGAAGAACCACCAGUGAUUCAAUAGAUAGGUACUCGGUGAGGAAUUAUGCAAAGUCAGUUUCUAAGAGUUGUAACAGAGAUUAUGGUUUCAGGAGAUAUUGCUAGGUGUCGAGUUUCUUCAACAAAGACCCUUGAGACUUUACUUGCUGGUCCCACAGUACUUCUGAAUUUGAAGAAAGAGUCAAGAGAACCAGUUUCAUUAACAAAUUUGUUUGAAGUGGUUGCUGCUGAUCUUCAGACUCUUAAGCAAAAUCUCCUGUCGCCUUUUAUAUUUCUGAUGAAGAUGCUCUGGUAGAUUGUUGCUGCAGAAAAUACGGUUUUGAUGUCUGGAGCUGAGCAGAAAUUUGGUGCUGGUGGGAAGAGAAUGUGACCAGCUCUGGUCUUUCUAGUGUCAAGAGCCACGGCAGAAGUAGUCGGGUUGAAGUAAGUUUUAUCCAGUAUUUUAAGGGC